GGUAGCUAAAUGCGGAAGAGAUAAGUGCUGAAAGCAUCUAAGCACGAAACUUGCCCCGAGAUGAGUUCUCCCUGACCCUUUAAGGGUCCUGAAGGAACGUUGAAGACGACGACGUUGAUAGGCCGGGUGUGUAAGCGCAGCGAUGCGUUGAGCUAACCGGUACUAAUGAACCGUGAGGCUUAACCUU
rnacentral:rRNA from 1 species